GUAGAAGAACUGUGUGCUCCUGCUGGGGGGUUAGAGAGAAUUAAUAAUUUACUGGUACAGGUAUAUAAAUACUAGGUUCCUGAGAAGCAGUGUGGGUGGUGGUUGGUUGUUCAUGGGGGUUGGAUGCAGUUUGUUAGCAGUCGUGCUCAAAGAAGAAACAAGAAAGAAAUUAGAUUCAGAUAUCUCUCUUUUAUCAUCAAAAUACAAACAGCACCAGGGCAAUCCACAACAAGGGGGUAAAAUGGAAGGGGAAGAGAUAAAGAGUGGGAGAAAGAAUAACCCACAAAGAAGAAAAGACCAGCCACACAGUUUCUCUGACUACAGUCCUCUGUAAAUUCUAGUCAGAGAUGGCUAGGAGAAGCUGGCAAACUUUUGCUUCAGAUCAGGGUGGAACUCAAGCCCCAGCAUCUUCAAAAAAGGCUUUCAGGACCGCCCUAAGGCUACUUGGAGGCUCUUGACAAUUUCCUACCUGCUCUAGCCACAGCACUGGGCUCUCUGUCCUAUAAUUGUGUGUUAGUGUGUCUGUCUCUCACCUACCACUCAUUGAAGUCUUUCGUCUUAGGUGUUUGCCUUAGAGUAGAGUCAGAGAUGGAUAACUAUAAGAAUAAAGGAAAGGAAAAGCCCGAUCACUUCCCCCACAGCUAGUUCAAAGACUUAGCCAGCUCCUGGGUAAAUGCAUUCUGUUGAAUACACAAUCCAUGACUAAAGCCACGUGAAGUCUUGCCAUUAAAAAAUAAAUGUAAACAAGAAUCACUUUUCAUCUCUUAAGGGAACCAAGAUUUUUAUAGAGGGGAUGAUGAAGCUCAAGGCCAGAGGUGCUGCUAAUUGGAAUGUACUUGGGGCAGGCCGACAGAGAUAAGAAGUUAACACCAUGUAGAAAUAACCUUGAAAGUGUUGAAAAGAUCAGUUCAGGACCUUUUGGAAAAUUCCACCAGACUCCUCCCCUUCGGAAAGGGAAAGCUAAUUAACAUUCGGAAGGAUGGACAGACCAUGGGCGACCUGUGGGGGGGGGCGGCUAGAACAGGUAAACACAUUCCUCUAUGAAUGACAGAGAAAGAAAGAUCUCUUAGAGGAAAUUUAGACUUAUAUUAAGUGAUGUUUCAAGACCAGGUAAUAUUUUGCUUUCAAAGUCAUCCUCAUUGAGUAUUUUUCUUAGAAAAAAUAAUCCCCUUUAAAAUGUUCUCUCUCUGUCUCUGUCUGUCUGUUUGUCUGUCUGUCUCUCUCUGUGCGUGUGUGUGUGUGUGUGUGUGUGUGUGUGUGUGUGUGUGUAUUUGGAUCUGUGGAGUGUCUCUGUGGCACGUUUGUGUCAGCGGUAUACUGCUCGCCUGUCGUGUCAGACAGCUGCUGCACUGUGCAACACUAUGUGGGAUAUGGGAAAUUUCAAGAUAAGGGAAAAUAUCAGGAAAGCAACACCCUGCUUAAGGAAAUCUCAGAACUGUCAAAUAAAAGAUGUGAAUCUGGGCGAGGCAGAGUCAUUUUAUUGAAUGUAUCCUGUUAUUGGUUGUAAUAAAAUUCUGCUUUCCUACUAAAUACAGAUGCAUUAAUGCCUGCUCCUCAGGCUUGUUUUUUGCUGUGGUUCUGUCUUUAGUUGCCUCACACUUUGCUUUGCCUUCAAUGGCAUCCUCUGCAAUGCUUACAGUUUGUUUCAUUCUGCUCGUCAAUCCAUCAAGGAUGUAAGAGAAGAAAUGCUGUAAAUGGACAAGUUUAUUCAGGUAGCACAGAAUUGUUCUUUUCCCCAGUUCAAUACACGCUGUGAGUAAAAUAGGCUGUCAGCAUGGAUGCCCCAGGUGGUGGUGAGUACUCUACCACCUACAGCUCCAACAUUCCACCAAGAAAUGCUAAUGCAGGAGGGAAACUGCCCUGCCUCAGCCCUGCCUCAACCCUGCCACAGCCCUGCCUCAGCCCUGCCUCAACCCUGCCACAGCCCUGCCUCAGUCCUGCCUCAGUCCUGCUUCAGCCCUGCCUCAGCCCCGCCUCAGCCCUGCCACAGCCCUGCCUCAACCCCGCCUCAGCCCUGCCUCAGCCCUUCCACAAUCCUGCCUCAGCCCUGCCUCAGCCCUUCCACAACCCUGCCUCAGUCCUGCCUCAGCUGUUCCACAACCCUGCCUCAACCCUGCUACAGCCCUGCAUCAGCCCUCCAACAACCCUGCCUCAGCCCUGCCCCAACCCUGUCUUAACCCUGCCUCAGCCCUGCCACAGCCCUGCCUCAGCCCUGCCUCAACCAUGCCACAGCCCUGCCUCAACCCUCUCACAGCCCUGCCUCAGCCCUCCCACAGCCCUGCCUUAGCCCUACCUCAGCCCUGCCUCAACCCUGCCUCAGCCCUGCCUCAACCCUGCCUCAACCCUGCCUCAGUCCUACCUCAGCUGUUCCACAACCCUGCCUCAACCCUGCUACAGCCCUGCAUCAGCCCUCCAACAACCCUGCCUCAGCCCUGCCCCAACCCUGUCUUAACCCUGCCUCAGCCCUGCCACAGCCCUGCCUCAGCCCUGCCUCAACCAUGCCACAGCCCUGCCUCAACCCUCUCACAGCCCUGCCUCAGCCCUCCCACAGCCCUGCCUUAGCCCUACCUCAGCCCUGCCUCAACCCUGCCUCAGCCCUGCCUCAGACAUCCCCCAUCAAUCCACCCAAGCUGCAAUAAACACUCAUAAGGAUACUCUGCUCCUGCAUUUUACUCCAUUAUCACGCUAAGAAAAGUCACAGGCACUUCUUCUAGAGUCUAGAGAGGGGCCUCAUCUUGCUUAUAAUGUUUAGGGAUGCCUAGUACUCUCUUCUCUGUUAUAGUUGGAGACUCUGACUGCCCCCUACUCCCUGGACCAAUGGAGGGCUGGGGGUUUGAAUGGGAACUGUCCUCUGUGGGCUCAUGUAUUUGAACCCUGACCCUCUUCUGGUGCGGUUGCUCUGGGGACUAUGGAAGCUUUGGGUGUAAGGGUUCAUGACUCACUGAAGAAUGACAACCUGGACUCAAAUAGUAUGUCAAUGCAAAAAUUGUUCUAUUCUUUAGAAGUUCAGAAUGCUGGGGUGGACAAUCUACAAAGAUGGAGAAACUCUAAAGUGAGUUCUCAGGCCCAAUUUAAAGCACAUUAGGGGAAUUCCAGAGAGUGGUAGGUGACCUCUUAAUCUUCCCUCUAACUCUAGAAGCAUUGAUGGGGACUGAGGGGCUGGAAACUCUUGCUGAGGAAGUCUGGAAACUGCUGUUGACUCAUUGUCUUUGCCUCAGAACAGGAACAGGACAACUUCCUGGCCUGGAUUUGCCUGGACUUGCCCAUUUCUUGGAAGCAGGGAUUUAGGCCUAGUCCCUUAAACUGUCAUGGAGUCAGCCUAGCUGGCAGAAGAGGAUGCUGGCCUUGGGCCUUAAUGGUCAUAUUUCUUUGGAUUUUUUUUAAAGUUUUAAAACAAGAUUUAUUUAUUUUUAUUUUAUGUAGAUGGGUGUUUUGCCUGAAUGUGAACACACUGUAUGUGCCUGCUGCCCUUACAGGCCAGAAGAGGGUGCUGAUCAGCUGGAAUUGGAGCUAUGUUUGGUUGUAAGCUACCAUGUAGAUGCUAGGAACCAAACCUAGGUCCACCUGAGUUGCAGCCAGUGCUCUUAGCUACUGAGCCAUCUCUCCAGUCCUGGUAUCUGUUUGGACUGUAUUUGCACUCUUUUUUUCUGGUCUCUCAAGAUAUAAUGAGUUACUGCCUCAUGCUCUAGCUGCGAUGGACUGACCUGCUUCCAUCUUUGUGCCCUACUUGGUGUGACAAGACUGUCCCCCAGAGAAUAGAGGAACUAAGCCUUCCCACACUUAACUGUUUCUAUAAGAAAUUGGGUCAUAGUGAUGAGAAAUGUAAUUAAUCCAUAGGGCAAGGAGGAAGGGGUGGUGACAGAGAUUGUGCCAACAUGUAGAGAGAGGCAAGGACCAGCUCACAUAACCUCAUCUAGGAAGGGAUGAGCUCUGGAGAUGACCUUUCAUAGAAGAAGGUAUAAGACAUGUCUAACUUUAAUUUUUCCAAACCCUACUUUUAAUAAGAAUUCUUAAAUGCUUUAACCUCCCUUCUAACCCACCACCCACCAGAGGUAAUGGGAAAGAAAGGAUUUGAGGGGAGUGGGCCUGUUUAGAAAUGGUUCUUAGGAGCAAAUUCCAUCUGUACUGUUAGGAAAUCAGUAGUUUAGUUCACAGGUCAGCAGCAGUAGCUCGAACCACUUGCAAACACUUUAUAGAUAUACCAGCAGUCCAGUUUAGUAGUGUUGGGAUGGCAUGACCUAGCAGGAACAGUCAGGCCUCAGCCUAAUUGGCACAAAUCAGCAGGAGGGAUUCAGACCAGCAUGGAAGCUUCUCCCAGCAUUGUACAGCUAGCUCUGAGUCUGCCUUAGCCGUUCACCUGUGUCUGCUUCAGUGAAAUGUACCUUCACCUGUUUGCCCCAGCAAAACACUAUCUGACACAAUUGAUUUUCCAAAGAACCCUUAAGUUUCCACUUCCACCCAAGGACCUGGGCAGUAAGAUGGUACUCAGGGGACCAUUGUCAAUGAGUGAGCCAGUACAGAACAAAGGGCAGAGACAUUCAGACAGGCUUUCUAGGGAAGCACCCACAUCCUGUGAGGAGGGAACUGCAUCCUCCCUAGAGAAGCCUGCGAGACACAUUCCUGGCCCUACUCCUACAGCCCUUCUACAGCCCCUGGUGAUGGGCCUGAGGCAAAAUAACUUGAGAUUCAGUUUGAAGUUUAAAUUGGAAAUUAAUACAACCAGAAAGAGAUGUUUUAAUAAUGUAACAAAGCAGAUAAAUAAUAAAAUCAAGCAAAAAAUAUGUUUAAAAGAGCUGACACCAGAAAGAAAAUGGGUGUGGCUUAUACAGCUAGCCUCUGUGUGCAGUGAUUUGAAAUAUUAACCAUUUCAUAUUUAUACAAUUGAGUUCUAUCCUCCGGAGGGUAAUGAAAUGGUUCUGAAGAAUACCAAUGCAAACAAGAAUGGCUUUAGUUGACUAGUUAAUUAGAGACAGGUUCUCCUGCAGCCUAGUUGAAAACAUGUUCUGUAGCUGAGCUUGACCUUGUGCUUCUAAUCCUCCUGCUCCCUCCUGAGUGCUGGGAUUACAGGUGUGUGCCAACAUGCCCAGUUUUAUGUGGUGUUGGGAACCAAACCCUGGACUUCCUGCAUGAAGUCAGGCAUUGUAUCAACUAACCCACAGAGUGCCUUUAUUUUUUAAAGCAUUGUAUCAACUAACCCACAGAGUGCCUUUAUUUUUUUUAAGAUUUUUGUUUGUUUUUAAAUGAGUUGAAGUGUAACUUUCAGACAAAAGAAUGCACAAGUCCUAAGAGAACUCUAGAUUUAAGUAAGAGAGCCACCUCUGCUGGUCUGCAUGAGAAUGUUCUACACAGAAUCACAUAUGCAAGCACUUGAGGUCCAUUUGCUGAGACUAUUUGGGGAGGCUAUGCACCUGUGGGGUCAAAGCCUUGCAGCAGGAAGAAAGUCACCGAGGGUGAGCUUUGAGAGUUUGUAGACGCACCCCACUCCCACGUCCUUCUCUGUUUCCUGCUUGAGGGUAAAGAUGUGAUCUCUCAGUUUUCUGGUUGGUAGCUUUGCCACCAUGCCUCCUCUGCCAUUAGGAUGCUCCCCUGGAACUGUGAACCAAAGCAAACUCUCUCUUCCAUAAGUUGCAUUUGCACAUACUAUUUUAUCAACGCAACAGAAAAGAAACCAAUAUGCCAUGUGUGUAAUCAGCACCCAAGCAAAGACAGGGCACACUACAACAGAGGUUCUUCCUAAUGCUGCAACCCUUUAAACAGCUCCUCAUGUUGUAGUGAUCCCCAACCAUAGCAUUAUUUUCAUUGCUGCUUCCUAACUAUGAUUUUGCUACUGUUAUGAAUCAUAAUGUAAAUAUCUGAUAUGCAGGAUAUGUGUUGCUAUUUCAGCAACAGAAAGCAACUGGACCCGAACUUUCACGCUUCCUCUUUGUAGUUAUCGCUCUCCUCUUCCUCAGGUCACUGUUAUCUUGAUUUCCACAUCUGCAAAUUACUUUUGCCUGAGUUUAUUCCUCUAUAAAGGCCUAUAUUACGUGUGCGUUCUGUUUAGUUCUUUUGGCCACCAUUACACAGUGAGUUACAUUGUCUAACAGUGGCCUGCUCAUUUUCACUGUGGUUUUUCUAUUUGACUACACUAUGAGUUUUAUUAUAUCACAAAUGGUGACAAUUCAUAAUUUAUGUCUUUCCCCCUUUUUCUCCAGCUUGUGCUGAUACAAAGAGUGCUGCUGGGGCUAGAAAGGCAGUGUUGUGAUUAAGAGCAUGGCCUCUGUUUCUAAAAGACCCAGGUUUGAUUCCUAGCACCUACACAGUGGCCCUAAAACACCACUUAACUCCAGUUCCAAGGGAUAUGAAACUAUCUUCUAGGCUCCAGGUACACAUUCAUGCAAGCUAAGUUAUCCACUCAUGUUAAAAAAAAAAUCAAAGAGUACUACUGAACUUGAUGGUUAAUAUUCCAUUUAAGAUUUCUACGUUUUUGUUAAUGAGAGAGAGUAGGCUGUAUUUUCUUUUUUGGUGAUUCUUUUAUAUUACUUUUGUAUUGAUCUCAUAGAAAUUUUGGAAAUGUUCUCCUUUUUCUGUAUUCCAGAUGAUUUAGUGUAAGAUUGGUGAUUUUCCUGUUAGAAAGAACUUAAAAGAACUUGCUGUGGAAUUCAUCUAUAUCUGUAGUUUUCCUGUGGGCAACUAUUUUUGUGGAUGAAAGGUUAUUCAAAUUUCCGUUUCCUUUUUCCCACUCUGGUAGAGCUGUGUAUGUCUAGGAACCUGUGUUGUUGACAUGUAAUUGGUUUUUAAUUUUCCCUUAUUAUAUCUUUAAUGGUGAAAGAAUCUAAACUCAUUCUCUCAAUUUCUUUCUUCAUAGCAGUUAUUUGUUCUGCCCACCCUCCUCCAGUGUUGUUAGGAAUUCUUUAAUUGCAUUAGAACCAAUGUUUGUUUUUUAAAACUAAUUUUUGUAGAUUUCUAACUUUUUUCUAUUGAACAUGAGUAUAAUUUCCUGUUUUCUUCCCUUUGGAUAUGACUUUUCAGAUGGAUAAUUGGCUUUUAGACUUUUAACUCAAAAAAUAUUAAUAUUGUAUGUGUGUGUGUGUACAAACACGCACACGUGCAGCUGCAUGCUUGCUGUAUGUGAAUGCAUGCCAUAGUGCAUGGUCCACUUUUGGGGUUAGUUAUCUCUUUCCACUGUGUGAUUAAACUCAUGCUGUCCAGUUCAGCAAGUGUAUUUAUUGUUUGAGCCAUCAUGCUGGCCCAUUACAAUGUUUUCAUUAUUUGUUUACUGUGUGUAUUUACUGUGUGCUAAGAAGUUUCUGGUUGCUUGGUUUCUAGUUUAAUUCCAUUAUAUGUAGAGAGUGUGUCUUGUAAUACUCCAUUGCUUUGGCAUUUGUUGAAAUUUGCUUAAAUAUAAUCACCUUUUAAAAUGUCCCCAUUUUCUUGAAAAUAACAUAUUUGCUUUAGUUAUUAGAUGUAAUUUCUAUAUAAGCUUAAUUCAGUCAUAUUUAUUAAUUCUGUUGUUCAGACUCUUGUAUUCUGAGUGUGUAUAUAUACACAUAUACUGUAUUCUACAUGUUUGUAUAGUACUUUUGCCUACUUGUUCAAUUGGUCAGAGGUCUACCAAAUCUUUCAUCCUGAUUUUGAAUCGGUCAAUUUCUUCUAUCAAUAGUAUUUAUGAUAGUUGUUUAUAAUUAGGUUAUUUGGAAUUGCCCCUUCCUAAUCAAUAUAUAUCUAUAUGUAGAUAUAUAGAUUUAUUUAUUUAUUUAUUUAAUGUGAGUACACUGUAGCUGUCUUUAGACACACCUGAAGAGGGCAUCGGCUCCAUUACAGAUGGUUGUGAACCACCAUGUGGUUGCUGGGAAUUGAACUCAGGACCUCUGGAAGAGCAGUCAGUGCUCUUAAACGCUGAGCCAUCUCUUCAGCUCAAGACCCUGGUCCUGAUGAAAUAGACAUCAAGCCAAAGUAAUUAGAAAAGAUGAAGGUCUCUGUACUGACUAAGGUUAUCAUCCGUGGGGUCAAUAGGCCCUUUAUAUUAUUGUGAAACAUGUUGCUUCAUCUCUUGAGCUUGAAGUAUGGCUUAGUGCAGAGUGCUUGUCUAGCAUUCUUGCGGUCCCACAUUACAGAAGAGCACAGUGUCUGUAGAUAAGUGCUGCUAGCAAUGUGUAAGUCCAUUCCUUCUUAAAUCUGUGUGUGUGUGUGUGUGUGUGAGAGAGAGAGAGGAGAGAGAGAGAGAGACAUACAAGUACUGAGUUUUCCAUCUUUGUUGUUUUUAAAACAAAAUCCCAAACAUUCGAUUUACCAAAUGAAGAAAUGAAGACUCAGGAGCCAGAUGCUGUGGUGAAAGGCUGCUGGCUCAGAGAGGCAGAGAACACCAGCUGACCUUCCUCCGCCACCGGAAGGAAAAAGCUCCUUGUCCUUUUCCAAGCUGCCGUAAAUUCCCGUCAACUCAAAGACCCUCCUUUCUACUUCCUGGGCUUUCUCAUGUUCACUCUCUAUCCACUGGAUGCUUGCUCUGCCUCUUGACUUAUCGUUGAGUUUAUUUAUCUCUUGUUUACAGAAAACUCUUAGGUUAAAGAUGUCUGCUAGGACUGAGCCACACCACAGGAAACAGUUUUUCUAGUUUACAAUUUCAGGGUUCACAGUGUGAUCAAAUAACCCUCUAACACAUUUUUACAUCAGAGUUCUCUGCUUCCUUCCAAUGUGUUUUGUACCCAGCAGAUCAGUAUGUUUUCAGUUACUCUGACAAUUUACUGCACCUACACCUUUAACGAUUACUUAAAUAUUUAACCAUUUACUACAUGUUUCCUUCUUCUUCCAACUUUUACAUCUCUGUUACUCAGUUUCUCUCUUUUUUCCCUUCUUAUUUUAAGUAUUGUAUAUUCCUUGUAUUUCUUGUAAAACCCUGUCAGAUUCUCUUGAAAUAUAUAAUUUAUUUACUAGCUGGAAUGUGCUUAUGCAACUUUUCAUUCUUGAAGAAUACAUCACAGGGCAUGAAAUUCUAUGUUUGCAGGCAUUUAUUUCCCUUUUAUUUAAAGAAGAUAGCCCAUGGCGUUGCUUACAUAAGCUCUGAUAUAGUCAGCUGUGGGCCUUGUUUCUUUGGAGGUAAUCUCUUUCUGACUAUUUGGAAAAUGUUACUCUGCCUUUAGGUUUCAGUGUUUGGCUAUGAUGUCUUCAAUGAGUUUUACUGUGUAUGUAGGCAAGAGGACAACCCCAGGUGCUGUCUUUCUUUGAGACAGUCUUUUAUCUGAAACUUAACAAGUAGGCUAGGAUGGCUGACCAGUGAGCUCCAGGGGCCUGCCUGUCUCUGUCUCCAUAACACUGGGAUUGCAGCAGUGCCACCACACUUUAAAACAAAAAACAAAAAACAAAACCCCUUGGGUUCUUGGCACUAAACUUGCCUUUUCUUGUUUGCCAGGCUCUUUACUGACUGACUGACUAAGCUAUUUCUCCAGCCCUCUGCCAGUGUGUGUGUGUGUGUGUGUGUGUAUUUGUUUGUUUUUGUUUUUAAUACAAUUCUUUUGAUCUACAUUGUACAUCUUGUGUUUUGAUAUAUUUUGGGUUUUUGGAAAAAAUCCCCAAAUUCAAAUACUGCUUCUUCCUUUAUGCACUGUUUCUCUGUUUAUUUUUGGAACUCCUGUUAUAUUUAAAAUUAAACAUUUUGCUGCACUAAAUAUGUCUCUUAAACUUAAAGAAUGUAUUUUUUUUUUAAAUCUUUUUUCUCCUUCCAUGCUUUGGCAGAGUAUAUGCUUAGAACAAAUCCUGUCACUCUAAGCUCACUGUCUGCUCAUCAGCCUUAGUGUCUACUGUACUCAGUGUUUCAUCCCACGCAAGAAUACCCACCCGCAGUGAGGGCUGGAGAGAGAAGCAGUUGGGCUAGUCUUUUUGGAAGUUCAGCUUUUGUGAUCUGGAGCAAGAUUAUGUAGGAGGACCGUCCAGUCAGUAACAAAGAAAGCCAGCUAAGGCCAAAGCAGAAGCAGGUAUCAAGUCGGCAAUCACAGACAGAGCUUCAUAAUCCCGCGGAAAGCCCAUUACUUAAGGUGGGAUGAACGGGUCCUUCUUCUUUAUAAUCAAAAUAGGCUAAUCCACCCAGAAGAGUGUAUCUGAGCUUCAGAAAAGUAUUUUGUUAAAUUAUAUAAUGCUGUGGGUGUGAUUGAGAAACCUCCUUUCAAUGUGAUACAGCAAAUCUAUGAAUUACAGGUGGAGAAAAAGCUGAUGUCUAGGUACACUAAUGAAUUGUUCCAUCCUGGGGGAGGGGCUCAUUUAAAAAUAAAGUUCUCCCUUGCCUUGUUCUAUUUAAAACUUUCAUCAUAUAUUCUUGUAGAAAUUUACAUUUACUUAGCAAAUUCACAGAGGAAAACCUCAUUGUUUCCUUGGAUCCUAUAAGAUGUUAAAUCCAGCAAGAUAGAAUUUACAUAACAACUUGAUAUAAAAAUAAUGUAUUGUCAUUGUUAGAUAUUUAAAAAUCAUUACAAAGCUGUUUUCUUUCUCACAGUUUAUUUUUUGCAAAAAUGUAAUUAUAAUCACAAGUAUUUUAUAACAUUAAAUCUUAUAACUAUUAAAUCUUAUUUUACAGAUUUAUUUUAAUUGACAUAAUUUAUUUGGGUACUCUAUCAAGAUCAUACUACAGUAUUGUUUUCUAUUUCUUUUUGCUUUGAAAUAAUAAAUAUUUUUCCAAAUUAAACGUUAUUUCUCAAUUA